rnacentral:tRNA from 2 species
UGCGGAGUAGAGCAGCUUGGUAGCUCGCGAGGCUCAUAACCUUGAGGUCGUGGGUUCAAAUCCCGCCUUCGCAC